rnacentral:rRNA from 1 species
CCUACGGGAGGCAGCAGUGGGGAAUAUUGCACAAUGGGGGAAACCCUGAUGUAGCGACGCCGCGUGAGUGAAGAAGUAUUUCGGUAUGUAAAGCUCUAUCUGCAGGGGAGAAAAUGACGGUACCUGAGUAAGAAGCCCCGGCUAACUACGUGCCAGCAGCCGCGGUAAUACGUAGGGGGCAAGCGUUAUCCGGAUUUACUGGGUGUAAAGGGAGCGUAGACGGCAGCACAAGUCUGGCGUGAAAUGCCGGGGCUUAACCCCGGAACUGCUUUGGAAACUGUGCAGCUAGAGUGCAGGAGAGGUAAGUGGAAUUCCUAGUGUAGCGGUGAAAUGCGUAGAUAUUAGGAGGAACACCAGUGGCGAAGGCGGCUUACUGGACUGUAACUGACGUUGAGGCUCGAAAGCGUGGGGAGCAAACAGGAUUAGAUACCCCUGUAGUC